CGACUACAAUCAAAUAUCGAUACCAGUUUUAGCCUGUCGGCUUGUUGUCGUGUCAGGGGGAUCAACAAGGGA